AGCUCAGUUCUGUGGGGCACAGCAGAAGGUCCGUCCCGCAAGCCCUGCGCAGGUGCUGAGCCUCUCCCUCACCUGCCGCCCACCUGCACCCCCAUUUGUGCUGCAGAUGAUGAAGGACCCAAGACAGCGGACUGGUGACUCCUCAUCCUGGGACCCUGGAGUCAGCCUCCUCUGAGAGGCUCUCAAUGCUCCUGGAGUGGGUGCAGGAGGAGCCCCGUGCUCAGAACAAGUGAGUCCGCUUGGCGAUUGCCAUGGGCACUGGCUUUAAGCCCCAGCUGUGUGGACACUGGCGUGCCCUGUGCACACCAGGGCUCUGUGGACAUGAGCGGCUCCUGUUCUGCCUGAUGCCAGAGGGGCAGCGGCAUCUGACAACCCAGUGGCCCACUCCUGCUGAGAACCUGGGUGGGCACCUCCCAUCUGGAGAGUGCGUCAGCCAUCCGGCAGCCACACAACUUCCCAUGGCUUUGCUAUUAAAUGAGGCCAGUAAUGCAGCUCCAAGUGUGUGGUCUG
rnacentral:lncRNA from 14 species